GUGAGUAACACGUGGGUAACCUGCCCAUCAGAAGGGGAUAACACUUGGAAACAGGUGCUAAUACCGUAUAACAAUCAAAACCGCAUGGUUUUGAUUUGAAAGGCGCUUUCGGGUGUCGCUGAUGGAUGGACCCGCGGUGCAUUAGCUAGUUGGUGAGGUAACGGCUCACCAAGGCCACGAUGCAUAGCCGACCUGAGAGGGUGAUCGGCCACAUUGGGACUGAGACACGGCCCAAACUCCUACGGGAGGCAGCAGUAGGGAAUCUUCGGCAAUGGACGAAAGUCUGACCGAGCAACGCCGCGUGAGUGAAGAAGGUUUUCGGAUCGUAAAACUCUGUUGUUAGAGAAGAACAAGGAUGAGAGUAACUGUUCAUCCCUUGACGGUAUCUAACCAGAAAGCCACGGCUAACUACGUGCCAGCAGCCGCGGUAAUACGUAGGUGGCAAGCGUUGUCCGGAUUUAUUGGGCGUAAAGCGAGCGCAGGCGGUUUCUUAAGUCUGAUGUGAAAGCCCCCGGCUCAACCGGGGAGGGUCAUUGGAAACUGGGAGACUUGAGUGCAGAAGAGGAGAGUGGAAUUCCAUGUGUAGCGGUGAAAUGCGUAGAUAUAUGGAGGAACACCAGUGGCGAAGGCGGCUCUCUGGUCUGUAACUGACGCUGAGGCUCGAAAGCGUGGGGAGCAAACAGGAUUAGAUACCCUGGUAGUCCACGCCGUAAACGAUGAGUGCUAAGUGUUGGAGGGUUUCCGCCCUUCAGUGCUGCAGCUAACGCAUUAAGCACUCCGCCUGGGGAGUACGACCGCAAGGUUGAAACUCAAAGGAAUUGACGGGGGCCCGCACAAGCGGUGGAGCAUGUGGUUUAAUUCGAAGCAACGCGAAGAACCUUACCAGGUCUUGACAUCCUUUGACCACUCUAGAGAUAGAGCUUCCCCUUCGGGGGCAAAGUGACAGGUGGUGCAUGGUUGUCGUCAGCUCGUGUCGUGAGAUGUUGGGUUAAGUCCCGCAACGAGCGCAACCCUUAUUGUUAGUUGCCAUCAUUCAGUUGG
rnacentral:rRNA from 1 species